AACAGUGACUCUGCCCAGACCCUC
rnacentral:piRNA from 1 species